CCUACGGGUGGCAGCAGUGGGGAAUAUUGCACAAUGGGCGCAAGCCUGAUGCAGCCAUGCCGCGUGUGUGAAGAAGGCCUUCGGGUUGUAAAGCACUUUCAGCGGGGAGGAAGGCGUUAAGGUUAAUAACCUUGUCGAUUGACGUUACCCGCAGAAGAAGCACCGGCUAACUCCGUGCCAGCAGCCGCGGUAAUACGGAGGGUGCAAGCGUUAAUCGGAAUUACUGGGCGUAAAGCGCACGCAGGCGGUCUGUCAAGUCGGAUGUGAAAUCCCCGGGCUCAACCUGGGAACUGCAUUCGAAACUGGCAGGCUAGAGUCUUGUAGAGGGGGGUAGAAGUCCAGGUGUAGCGGUGAAAUGCGUAGAGAUCUGGAGGAAUACCGGUGGCGAAGGCGGCCCCCUGGACAAAGACUGACGCUCAGGUGCGAAAGCGUGGGGAGCAAACAGGAUUAGAUACCCGGGUAGUC
rnacentral:rRNA from 1 species